GCUUAUGGAAGGGUGAACGUGAGUUCAUUUGGAGGGUACACAAGAGACCAUGCUGACAUGAGUAGCGAUAAAGCGGGUGAGAAACCCGCUCGCCGAUAGCCCAAGGAUUCCUGAGUAAAGCUAAUCUUCUCAGGGUUAGUCGAUCCCUAAGCCGAGGCCGAAAGGCGUAGGCGAUGGAAAACAGGUUAAUAUUCCUGUACCACCGUGAUAUUGUUUGAGAGAUUGGGGGGACGCAGGAGGGCAGGUCAUCCGUCUGUUGGAAUAGGCGGUUCAAGCUUGUAGGCAGAGUAUCCAGGCAAAUCCGGAUAUUCAAUGCUGAGGAGUGAUGAGGAGGGGUUUACCCCAUAAAGUGACUGCACCCAUGCUGCCAAGAAAAGCCUCUAUUGAGAUAUCAGGUGAUCGUACCGUAAACCGACACAGGUAGGCAGGGAGAGUAUCCCGAGGCGCUUGAGAGAACCCUGGUUAAGGAACUCGGCAAAAUGAUACCGUAACUUCGGGAUAAGGUAUGCCUUUAAUUGUGAGUUCACUUGCUGGAUAAAGCGAUUGAAGGUCGCAGAGAAAUGGCGGUAGCGACUGUUUACUAAAAACAUAGGACUCUGCAAAGUCGCAAGACGAAGUAUAGGGUCUGACGCCUGCCCGGUGCCGGAAGGUUAAGGGGAUUUGUUAGUUUUCGAACAAAGCAUUGAACCGAAGCCCCGGUAAACGGCGGCCGUAACUAUAACGGUCCUAAGGUAGCGAAAUUCCUUGUCGGGUAAGUUCCGACCUGCACGAAUGGCGUAACGACUUCCGCACUGUCUCAACCAGGGACUCAGCGAAAUUGGAAUGGCGGUGAAGAUACCGUCUACCCGCGAAAAGACGGAAAGACCCCGGCACCUUUACUACAGCUUGACAUUGGAUUUUGGGAUAUAAUGUGCAGGAUAGGUGGGAGACUUUGAAGCAGGUACGCCAGUACUUGUGGAGUUGCCCUUGAAAUACCACCCUUUAUAUUCUAUGGUUCUAACGAGGACCCGUAAUCCGGGUUUCGGACAGUGUCUGGCGGGUAGUUUGACUGGGGCGGUCGCCUCCCAAAGAGUAACGGAGGCGCGCGAAGGUUCCCUCAGGCUGAUUGGAAACCAGCCAUAGAGUGCAAAGGCAUAAGGGAGCUUGACUGCGAGAGAGACAUUUCGAGCAGGUACGAAAGUAGGUCUUAGUGAUCCGGCGGUUCUGUA
rnacentral:rRNA from 1 species